GGAGAAGGAGGACGUUUGAGAUGCCUUUGCUUUGAGACAGUGCCAUAGAAAGAUUUCUUGGCCGGCCUUAGAAAGUAAGCCAGCGGUUGCAAUGCAGAACUUUGCAGUCUUCCCUGGGAUGCAGAUUCCGUUCCAGGUGUGAAAAAGUCCAGCAUGAACUCAGACAGGACACAGACCAGGACCAGAGCCUCAUGUAGACAGAGCUGCUGCAGAAGGAGCAAUGAGCAUGCCUGCACCCUUGAGAGACCUGAGGAGGAUGAAGGAAAAUACGGACAACUUGAAUCCAUGACAGUCUUCAGUCUAGGAUCAAGGCCUCCUCACAAAAGCCAUCUCCUUGUAGCUGAGAACUCAACAGAAUUAGUGGCAGUGUCACAGGUCAGCCCUCUGAACCCAGAAGAAGGACAUUGGCAUAGGAAGCCCCUCUCCUGGGGUGGUCACACAAGUGGCAAUUCCUUGGCAGGCAUUGGAGAAGCAAGGGUCUUGUCAUUGAUUUGCUAUUUUGGACUGUCUGGAAUCAGUUGCGGCAUCACAGUCCUGUAACACCAGAACUCCCAGGCAGAGAUGGAUGUCUGCAAGUGCCAGGUGGCUUGGUCUACACA
ensembl:lincRNA 4933413J09Rik RIKEN cDNA 4933413J09 gene